UCCAAGAAAUAUGAAAAGAAAAACGUGGAGAGAUGAGAAGAUGAAAGAUGAAAGAAAACAAACCAGCCAAAGUGGCUCUGAUAACACUUGAUAAGCCCUAAAUCGGGAAGGAUCACUUAUGCUGGAUGUUGGAUAUGAUCCGAGAAGGCAAUUGCACUUCUGGAACUGAGAUGGAUUGAAAGGAUCGUCAAGAGAUGCGGAAUGACUCUUGAUAUACCCACGAUCUAAGGCUAACCACCAAAGAACGAUUGUAAUGUGUUAACUAACCACCAAACAACACACAAAGAUGAAUUAGCUGACCACCAAAUCAACAAGCCGGUUCACACCAAUGAACUAGCUAAAGAACUCUCUCUCUUACUCAGAGAAGAAACGAAAAUAAACUGAUUUUAUUCAUGGAAUGAGACUACAUAUUUAUAGUGUUUGUAGUCAAAGACUAAUAAAGAAAAUACACGGAAAAUAAUGCAUAGAAAAUAUAAAUUUGACCAGAUAUGAAUUAAUGAGUCAAAAACUCAGUCUUCAAUGCAGAUUGGUCAAAGAUGGCCCUUCAGAUAAUGUCCAGGUUCAUCCGAACCUGAUGGAUGCACGGGGUAAAGAUAAGGGCGCUUGCGGGAAUGUCUGGAUGGUCCGCCGGAUGAGAAUGCAUGUCCUUCUUAGGUUUCUUCACGACCCAAGCUAAUUUUGGCUUGACCGUGGGUCUUUGACUGUCGAGUUGGUCGGGAAAGACGAGCUCUGAUACGGUCAGUUCGGUCGUCUAGUCGUGGUUCAAGCCGAAACUCCAAUCGGGACGCACGCUGGACGGCUCGGUCAGUCUGAUCGGUACGGUCGGAUGAACGAACCUCGGUCAAAUUGUUCAGAACGUCCUGAUCUCCAUGCUGGUCGGCUUCAAUGGACUGAUCCACGAACCGGGGCACAUCACAAAAGGGACAGGAAGUCUCCGAUCUUCGAGGGGACCCUCAUCGUCUGAAUCCGGAAUCGAGAUUGGAGGCAGCCCACUAGUGGUUUUGCCUGCCGAUGCCGAUCUAGAGGUACGAAAUGAUGACCUCCUCACGAGCUGCCUCUCCAACCUAUCAGGAGGAGGAGGAUUGCUAGAAGAAGCCCCUACCUCCUCCUGAGAAUGCUCCACUUCAUCCUCAAAGGCGCCCGCGAUCUCCGGGGCAACACCCGAUCCAUCUGGCAUCGAGAAGGCAGCUCGAAUUCAAGCAUGAUCGAAAGAAGACCAAGUCAAGCGACCUCUCCGAAGAGCUCCAAUCAAACCCCGAAGCCCGUCGGUCAUAUCCGAUCUCCCGGAAUGAACAGACAGAAUCAGUCAAUAACUGCCCACGCAUGCGAAAAUAGGGAAAACGAAAAAAAACUAAAGAAUAACUCACUUAUGUCCUCAGCCCAAUAGCAGGGGAGCCUCGAGAAAUCAAAACUACCCACAGACGGUUCGUCGAUCUUGAAGACGAAGAAUUCUUCUCGCCAGUUCUGAUCACGAUACGGGAUACCAUGUAUGAUGUGACGUCCUGGACAGGGAGACAUAUGGAACGUCCCAGAAUUUUAUUUGUUUCGUUUCAUCAGAACGAGAUGAUGAAGCUCGUCGAGGCCAAAUGAUAAACCCUCUUCGCGAGCCUUGACUAGGAGUGCCAAAAGAUGUCUCAAGAAAUUGGGGCACAUUUGAGUGAGCGACAAACCCAGCUCCGCCAAAACACUAAGGAUAGGCUCCGGGAUCGGGUAGAAAAGACCCCAGGUCUCAAAGAAGGUGAGAUACGCCCCACCGAAUCCAUCACGAACAGCUUCCGGAGACUCAGUCGUGGAAGCCAAAUCAACUACUACGACCCGAUCGACGCCGUGGACGGUAUAAAGUUCCUCGAGCCAUUUAGCCGUGGUCGUCGGAAGAGGACAGAAGAACGAUGGAGCCAUCUUAUCAAAAUUCGGUAAUUAAAAGUCUGAUUGCAAAAGGAAAAAAGCGGAUUAAGACAGCGUAGGAACGCUCUCGGGUACUUAUAAGCCAUCGCAAGCCCUAACGGCUCUAUCGCUAGGCCCGGGGAAUUUAAUGAUUCGCCCUAACGCGGCGCGUAUAGCCAUUACGCGGGAAAACCAAAAAGCGCACGAGAAGUAACGUACAAAACCUAUGUAGAUCAUCUCCCUUCAUUCAUCCCGAAGAAAAGAGAUUGGGGGACAAAUGUUCGACCCGAUUUUGGAUAAUUAAUAAAUUGGGCCUAAAUGACUUGGGCCGCGCAACCAACGAAGAAGCCCAACUCUGACGAUCAGGAAGAGAUCGAUUCAAGGAGCCAGAGAUCGCAGAGCGGUUGCGAAGAUCGCGGAAGCAGCCCAUUAUAAGAAUAGAUCGAUAGAUACGAAAGGGGAAACGUUGAAAACCCUAGAGAGAGCCACACACACAUCGACCUUGUUUUCACCUAGCUUUAAGUCUUUUCUCUUAUCGAUCUCGCUUGUAACGUUCGAUCUUAUUUCAUUCAUUGUAUUCAAUCUUAUUCAUCAAUAAAAUCCAUCUUUGCCUACUAGAAACUGAUUACAUCGUUGUGUUCUAAAGAUAUCGUUGCCUACAUCAUUUUAGCUUCCUUAGAUUAAACUCUUGAUCACUAUCAAAUACUUAGUGUAGAUUUUAAGAUCUACACUUACCAUCACCGAUAAUAAGAUCUAGAAAGAAGACAAGAAGAGAUCUGGACACAAACUUGAAUCGGUUCAUCGAGGAUCUUUGAUGGCUUGGCUCCAGCGUGCAACGAACGACAACCAGCGAGAAGAGAGAUACGUCGGCGAAAAAGAAGAGAGAGAGGUCAGCCAAAAGAGAUCGAAAGAGACAAGAAAAGGAGAAACCUUGACGGCUAAGGUUUUCAGAUCUCUCUGGAAAUCGGCAAGGCUUCGCUCUGGUUUCGAAAUGAGAGAGAAGAGAAGGAGAAGGCUCCUUUUUAAAAGAAAAAGAGGUGAAAAUCCUAGGGUUUACUACACGGGCCAGAAAAGAAGACCAAAAGAUAAUGAGCUUUGGUCCAAAUCAAGUUAAUAAUUAAGAAAAACAAAACCAUCCCGGUUUGGAAGAACCAGGAUGUGACAACUUUACCCCACUUAACUGGGAAUUCGCCCCGGAUUCCGAAAGGAGCAAGGGGAAAACUUAACCAUUAAGUAAGAGAUUAAAAACUUGUUCGAUUCAUAUUGGUUUGAGUCGAGCCUGGCCCUCUAGGUUAGGACUAGAGAGUUUUUCAUGGGUCUGAUACCACUUGUGACACUCCGAACCAGCAUAGCUAAAAUGGUCGGCGAUAUCAUGACACUUGUCUCCAGCCAUAAGGCCGAAACAAUGUGUCUUUAGGAUCCCAAGACGUCUUUAACAAAAACCCAACAACAUGAGCCGAACCUGAAAUGGAAAGGGAAGAAAGAGGUGUGAGCAUUUCGACAAAAGCUCAGUGAGGAAAGCUCCAAGAUCCCCAAAAUCAUCACCUGACAUUCACCACACAACAUAACAAAAGCUCUACCUAGAACAUCGAGUAAAGCAAUAGCAAACAACAAGAAAGAAGGAUAAACCCCGACGGUGCCAACAUGAGAAUAACGCCACAUCACGCUGUCUCCAUGCCUCUCAUGUUGUCGCGUGAGAACUCACCACAUCACGUUGUCUCCGUGAAUUCCACGCGAUCACGCCACAUCACGCUGUCUCCACGUGAUCCGCGCCACCACACUCACACGAUCACGCCACAUCACGCUGUCUCCACGUGAUCAGUGUGACUACAUUCACACGUUCACGCAACAUCACGCUGUCUCCACGUGAGCCGUGCUACUACAUUCUUAACUUCACACAAGCGCAUGCCCGCUCCGGCAUGAAUCAUGUCAACUCACGCGGUCGCCACAUGAUCCAGUCAAGAAACAAUGUAAUGCCCGAGACAUACAAAUACAUCAUUCCACCACUUUACACCGGCACACAUAGGCCUUAAGACCUUUUCUAUCAUAUACACUUCCCACACAUGCUUAUUCCCCAUACAAUGCAAACACUCACAUACAAGUCUCAAUCACCAAACAACCAUAUUCGAUUUAGCAACCUAUGAAUAGAUUUAGGUGUUCACACAUUUCAAUACAAUAUAUAGGGAUAUAUAUGAUAUAGUUCAGUUAUCAAACAACUACGUGUAUGCUUAUAGAUAACACGUAGGUAUGAAUGAUUUAGCUAGAAACUUUUACUAUGAAAUGAUAAUGAAAGAAGGAAGAAAGGAUCACAACAAUCCUCACCUUGGCCUUAGAUCUGCGGAUGAAAAAGAGAGAAGAAGCAGAUCUAAAACUUAAGGCUUUCCACGAACCAGAUCUACAAAUAAACGAGUAGCUGCUACCACCAAAGACCCGAAAUGAGAGAUUUAAGAGAAUGAACAAGAACGAGAAGAAGAAGAAGAAAAAGACAACAUGGUUUACUUACCAUCUCCGGUAAUCAGAUCUAGAAAGAAGACAAGAAGAGAUUUGAACCCAGACUUGAAUCGGUUCAUCGAGGAUCUCUGAUGGCUUGGCUCAAGCGUGCAACGAAUGACAACCAGCGAGGAGAGAGAUACGUCGGCGAAAAAGAAGAGAGAGAGGUCAGCCAAGAGAGAUCGAAAGAGACAAGAAAAGGAAAAACCUUGACGGCUAGGGUUUUCAGAUCUCUCUGGAAAUCUGCAAGGGUUCGCUCUGGUUUUGAAAUGGGAGAGAAGAGAAGGAGGAGGCCCUCCUCCUUUUUAUAAGAAAAAAAGGUGAAAACCCUAGGGUUUACUGCACGGGCCAGAAAAGAAGGCCAAAAGAUAAUGGGCUUUGGUCCAAAUGAAGUUAAUAAUUAAGAAAAACAAAACCAUCCCGCUUUGGGAGAACCGGGAUGUGACACUUAACCUGUCGAGACACAACGAGGAGAGCACCACGACACUGGGAUGGCUCAGACUAAAUCGUACCUUCAUUGUGGAGAAACCGGGCCUCGAUGACCACAAAACCAAGCAAAACCACACACGAUUCCCCUCUAAAAACUAGAGGAAGAUUCUUUGACUGAAGAACGGCCAAACGAGACAGAACGUUGACCGGCAAUACUAAAGAGUACUCCUCUUUAGCCUAUUGCUCUUUUAUAAAAGUCAGAAGUUGACCAAAAAAAAUACACACACAGUUCUCACCUCAAACAAUGGUAUGAUAAGUUGUUGAACGUCCACAACCACUAGACAAUACUACCUUUUUUCUUUUUUUGAACAAUACUAUCUUGUAUAUAAAAUCAUACACAAAAUAUGGUUUUUGUUAUAAAAUAUAAAGAUUUAAACUAUAUAAUAUAUAAGCAAAGGCUUUAAACAGUGCAAAGAAGAAGAUCGGACGUGUGUGUGCAAGAGAGUAUAAGAAUGAAGUUAAUUAUACUCAUUUUUGUGCAUCCCGUUACAAGCAUAUAUAUAGUAGUGGGAGUUGGUGGGUUUGCUGGCUUGAAACAUAAUCUAAUAAUAUAAAGUAGAGUUACUCUCUCCUGUGAGAGCGCCACGUCACUAAUUCGAUCAUCCUGGGUGCGACAUCUGUCCCCUCACUCUCAAAACUCGCCGUAUGAUUUAUAAAAUUUUGGGUUUCUUUCCCCUGAAGUUGGGCUUCUUCCACGCAGUCAGACCCGUCGAACUCUACAUUGGAUAUCAAAACUUAAACGUUGCGUUUUGGAUUAGGGUUCGUAGUGUCCGUCUCGCGUCUCCAGUCUUCCUCCAUCGACUGAUUCGUCUUCUUCUUCCACGAACAGAGACGGUAACCGAUUCCCUCAUAAAGCCCUCCUUAAUCAAUCACACACGAUCUCCAUUCAAUGCGACCCCGGAGAGUGCAAGGCAGUGGACACUCUGCUAUAAAAAGUUCGCAUGCUCUGAUUUGACAUGCUUUUUCUGGAUUCUCAGUUCCUAAUGAGUUGAGCGGCUGGCAGAUAAAACUCAAUGAGAGAAGACAGAAGCUGGAGAAGAGAAGAGUGAGGUUCAAGUUGUGCUCCUUGGACAAGGACUUGGAGAUUUUUUAUCUGAAUCCUCAGCAAUGUAAUGUCUCUGAACCACAAGUGUACAGGUUCUGCUGAGUACACAAGUCUAAGAUAUCUUGAGAGCUCAUCAGGGGUAAGUUCUGAGAACAAGAGAAGACAUUUCUUAUAUCUCUACAACAGAUUUAAUGUUUAACUUAUGCUCUAAAUUGUUCCAAGAAUCAAGUUUGGGUCUAGAAAAACGAGACAGAAACAUUCAAUACCUGAAACAAGAGCAGGAGCAACCAAGUCAUGUCUCUGUUCUAGAGAGGAUACGUCUGGAAGAAGAAACAGUAGAAGAGAAGAUUAGAUUGCUAUCUUUUCAUGAUUCAUGAAUCUUCUAGAGAAGGACUCAAUUCACAGGUUUGUGAAGAAAGUUCUUGAAGCUUCAAGACUGAACUGGACUAAUAUCAUGGCAAGAUGCAACGAAGAAACAUCACUACUUAACGAAUUCUCACACGGCGAUCACAACAAGGGUAAGCUUCUUCUGGUUCUUGAUUACACGGACGAGAGUCUCCAAGAGAUUUACCGUCGAGACAUCAUCAAGUUUUGGCCUUUCUUGAGAGUUAUCAUCAAUCUACCAUCUUCUUCCUUUAGAGAAGACCUGAUUCACGAGACGCUGAGACGUUUCGACUGGGGUUUACUCUGCUGUGACACUCCAAGAACGUUGGAUCAGAUCAUUGAGACUGAUGUGGUAAAGCCAUCAUAUCUUUGGUCGGAUUUUGGUGGUGAAGCUGAAGGUGGAAGUAGCCAGGUGCAGAUAGCAUCGGAGAAGGUGAAGAAAGCACGCAAUGCAUAGGUGAAAGAGGAUUGGAGUUCAAGACGCAGUUUUUUUUUAAUGCUUAAGUCGUUUAUGCUGGUUUUUUUCCCUUUUCUGGUGUUUGUUUUAUGAACAAGUUUGACUUUCACUCUUUGCUACUUCUAUAAUUUUGGUUUUUUAAUACCAAAUAUAAAAUAUAUCUCAUUUCAGAAAUA